rnacentral:lncRNA from 1 species
AGUGCAGCACUGCCAGGAGAGGAAAGAGAACAAGAUGGGAUGCACAGCAAGAUAGCAUUUCCAGAAAGGAAGAGCUGUUUCUUCUGGAGGUUGCUGGUGGGCUGUGGAUCUCCACUGGAGUCAGAAGUACUGGAAUGAAACUCAUGUUUUGUGUGCAGUGCUGAGGUGGUGAGCAGGGCUGCUGCAGAGAAUGGAGGUGCAGAACAAACCCCGAGUUUAAUUCCUAAUGGUCUGGAUAAUCCCAUUAACUGUCCAGGAGCUCGAGCCUGGCCCAUCAGAAGGAAACCUCAGGACUGCAGCACUCAGAUCUUCUCUCUGUUCAGAGGCCAUGUGAAUACCACACCUGAUGGGCCAGGUCAUCCUUCCCCCCUCUGCAAUGAAGUGUUCUGAGAUCCAUUGGUGAAAACCAG